GUUGGCCGGCCGCCCUUCCCACUCUCUGCCAGCUUCGACGACGGCGGCCACCGGCCUCUCCCCCUCCCCUGCUAGCCCCGCUUCUUUGUGCCCCCCUUCUGCUGGGACGUAUAUAGUUCUAGUGUCCCACGCUCUACAGCUUCCCCCGAAUCUCCACCCUAGCGACAGUGAGGGGCACAAGGCCAAGGUCGAAGAUGGGAGGGCGAUUAUAACCAGGGCAAGGCAGAGAGGGGCGCUGGCCAGUGGCAUCUCCGCAAUGCCCCUCUGUCUCGUCUCUAGUCUCCACGCCAUGAAGGUUGGCUCAUCCAUGAAACCCACCAUCUCCUGUCAUCUGGCAAUUAGAUCAGCAGUAACUGUAAAAUUAUUCUGUGAGCAUUUACUGGUUGCAGACCUUGAUUGCGAUUCAUUGGAGAUCGUUCCGUUUCUGUUUCAAAAUACUGCUAAAGUGUUAGGCAGAAACCAUGGGAGCGGAGCGGAUGGAUUUCAAUGAUUCUCGCACCAAAGAAUCAUGAAGAAUUGAUGUAGUCUUCCUUUUCGGUGCUUGAUGAUGCGGAUCACAUGAUAGACUUUGAAAAAUACCAAUGGCAGCAAUAAUUCAGCAAAUUGAUACCUCCACACCAUACAUACCGUAUACAGCCACCCCGGCCGGUUCGCCUGCUUGAGCUGCUUUUCCUCCUCGCUCACACUCUCCGACCAGUAAACUUACUACUUGGUCCAAGACAAGACCCCAAAGUUCUUCUCGUCAGUCGUCUGCGUCUGGUCUUCCUGGAAAGCAACCAUCCAUCCGGCCAUCUUUGGUAGACAGCCGACCGGCGAGGAGUGGCGAGGUUGCACUACAACAUCCAUCUUUCAAAGGUCGCAGUGAAAUUAAGCCAAGGUGCCCAAAUAAUGGAUCACCAAGGUUGUAUAACAGAAAUUGAGCUGGAAAACAUGUUGUUCGAUGAAGAUUUAGAGCCCAUCGCCCUGCCAUACUCACUUUUGAAGAAAAUCACAGAUGAUUUUUCUGAUAAGUUGGAAGUUGGAAGAGGUGGCUUCGCGGUGGUUUAUAAGGCAAUACUUGAUAAUGGUGUUGUUGCCGUAAAGAGACUGUCCAAUACGUACAUGUACGAGGAAAAAUUUCAAGGAGAGAUUGAGUGUCUCAUGAAGGCGAAGCACAAGAAUAUUGUACGAUUUCUAGGAUAUUGUUCUGACACACAAGGAAAUAUGGAAAGCUACAAUGGGAAAUGGGUUAUGGCAGAUGUACAACAAAGAUUGCUCUGCUUUGAAUAUCUGCCUAAAGGAAGUCUUGAUGGUCAUAUAACUGAUUUAUUUGGAGAAAUUGAAUGGAGAAAGCGCUACAAUAUAAUAAAGGGGGUAUGUGAGGGGUUAAAUUAUCUUCACCAAAAAAAUAUUAUGCACUUAGACUUGAAACCCGGAAAUAUAUUGUUGGAUGAGGAUAUGAUGCCGAAAAUUACUGACUUCGGACUAUCAAGGUGUUUUGAGGAAGACCAAACACGGGUCAUUACUAAAAAUGUGGCUGGAACUAUGGGAUAUUUGGCACCAGAAUGCUAUUGCGGUGAAAAAAUUGCAAUCACACACAAGUUUGACUUGUAUAGUCUUGGUGUUAUAAUUAUAGAGAUAUUGACUGGAAAGAAGGGAUAUCAGAUUGCUAUUGAGAAUGUACUUGAAAUUUGGAGUAAUAUGAUGUUGGAUGCACUGCAGUGGGAACAAUUACGAGUAUGUGCUAGGAUUGGGAUAGAGUGCACAGAUCUCGAUCCAGGGAAGAGACCAGCUAGUAUGAAGCACAUAGUUGAUGCGCUCGCGCAAACAGAAUGCAGUACGCAUUUAAGCCCUGCAGGUGGGGAAAGUGAGCUUCUUCUCCUUCAACAGUUCACAUUGUGCUUCCCCUUUGAGCCCAACAAGGUUAUCACAUGCCCCCUGCAACUAACAAACAACACAGAUAAACAUGUUGCAUUUAGGCUUACGGACAAGAGCAUGGAGUCCUCCUUCAUAAGGCUGCCGUUGUAUGGCAUUGUCCCACCUAACACCCCUUUCACUCUCAUCAUUACAACCCAAGAGAAAGAAGAGCUACCACAAAAGUAUAUCAUAGAUGUGAUCCUCCACAAUGCUACAUUGAUAUUGGAGGAUGAUGAGUAUAUAAACACUUUCCAAAGCCAGCCAGACAAUUUUUUCCGUGAGAUGGGGAAUGCAGUGCAGGAGGUGAAGCUAAAAGCACUUUAUACUCUGCCACGACACAUCACACCAUCGUUAUCUAAGUAAAACUUUGAGGAUGUCCCCCGCUAGAUCUUAACCAUAUAUAGUGUUGUUGAAUCAGAUAAUCUUACAAAUGAAAAGUCACAACAAAUAUGACGAACACAUGUAUGCCUUGGACACGAACCAGGCCAGACAAUGGAUAAUAAUCGGAGAUAGCAAUGGAUAUGUUGGCUUUUGGGACUAUCAUGCACAGGCAAGUAUGACAGGUUGUUUCUUUAUAAAGGCUCUCUCUGCAGCAAUUACGUGUGUUAAAUUUAUUGAAAGAGAGCACUGGAUUGUUGCUGGGACAGAGUAUGGUGACAUCCAAGUGUACGACUAUGAAAAAAAGAAGAUGAUCACAAGUUUCAGAGUUGGUGGCGGUGGACCAGGAGAACUCCUGUCAAUGGCCGUUCAUCCAAACAAGCCGUAUUUGCUGUCUGCGGGUUGGCAGCUGAAACUUUGGGACUGGGACAAAGAUUGGGAGUGUGUACACACAUUUGGAGAUAACUUCCAUUCAGCAUACCAAGUUGCAGUUAACCCAAAUAACACCAUUGCUACUGCUUCAGUAGAUUUAGAGGGAGACACUGUGAAGAUUUGGAGUCUUGAUUCUCCCAAAUCCAACUAUGCUUUGUCUGGGCAUUCGGGUAGAGUGACCUGCUUGGAUUACUUCACAUGCCAUGAUCAAGAAUUUUUGGUUACAGGCUCUGAUGAUCAGACUGCCAAGAUAUGGUAUUUGCAGAAGAAGAUAUGUGUGUAUACGCUUGAAGCUUUCAUAUCUCCAGUUAUGUCUGUCCUGUACCAUACCAAUCUUCAGACUUUAAUUAUAGGCUCAGAAGAUGGUGCUAUUUAUUUGUGGAGUACCGCAAAUUGCAGUCUACUUGCUGAAAAAAGACCCCAUAGGAUAUCUAUACGCCCCCCGAGGCUUACAAGAAUCAUCAAUAUUGGUUGUGUUGGAGCUGUCUACCAUCUCGCAUGUGCUAUGGGAAGCGUUGCAAUCGCAAAAGGAAACACCGUAGCAAUUAUGGAUAUCAAUAAUGUGGAUUAUCAAGAGCAAUCAACAUAUUGCAAUAAGCAGCCGUUAGGUGCCGAUACGAGACAACAUGCUGAAGACAGAGCGUCUAAGGAAGUUUCAGGGUCCAUCAACAUGCUACCUAUACUUGACAUCCACCCGCUGGAACUCUGUUUCCCCUAUCAUCCGAAUGAGCCCAUCUCAUGCUCACUGGAACUAAGAAACAACACCGAUGAAAAUGUGGCAUUUAGACUUGUAGACAAGAGCGGAAAGUCUCCAUGGUGCUUCACAAAGCUACCAUUGUACGGUAUUGUGCCUCGCAGAUCCACAUGCAAUUUGAUUGUGACAACGAAAGAGGAGAUGAAGCUAAAGGAAAAGAAAGACUUCAAUCUCGUUAUUCAGAGCAGUUUACUGAGAGAUAAGUACACCAUGGUAUUCCAAAACCAUUCUGAGUGUGAUCUUUUCUUCGAGGAAGCCAAAGAGUUUGGGAAUAUGGUACAUGAGGUAAUACUGAAAGCUGUUUAUCUGCGGUAUGAAGAGACCCCAUCUAAGGAGCAUAAUAUAUCGGUGAAGUAUAAUCCUGACGAUUUGCGAUCCAUAGAUGCACACCAAACAGAGCCUUGGAUUUUAACAGGUCAUAGAAGUGGAUAUGCCCGUCUAUGGAACCAUGAGUACCUGAUGGAUUCGUUUAAAGUCUCAGGCGAUGAAGUAAGCAUCGUCAAGUUUAUUGCAAGAAAGAAAUGGAUUGUAGUUGUGACGGCAUAUUACCUGCAUGUGUACGACUAUGCGUGUGUAACCAAAAUAGAAAAGAUUCAGCGAGUGGGACCUACUGGUUACUCGACCGACAGUCCAAUACUAGCAGUUCAUCCAACUCUCCCAUCUGUGUUGUCAAUGUUCUAUACAAAUAUAGUGGUUUUAGACAUAGACCUGGGCUGGAAGAGGACACAAAAGAUUUCGAUUCACGAUGAUGUGAAAAGAGGAGGUAAGAAGGAGCAUGUUAAGACUGCUCUCUCAUUUAACCCAGGGGACCACAACCGGUUCGUAGUUGGGUUUAAACGUGGCGAAGUACAGGUUUGGAGACUUGAUUCUCUUCGUGACCCUGAAUAUUCUUUGCUUGGGCAUUAUGGUAAUGUGACCUGCCUUGAUUUUAUCAGACGUGGAGAUCAACACUAUUUGGUCAGUGGCUCUACGGAUUGCACUGCCAAGAUCUGGGACUUACAGAAAAGGGAGUGCAUUUGUACGCUGCCAGCUAUGUCUCCAGUUCUUUGUGUCUUUGCCCAUCCGAACCUUCCACUUCUAAUUACAGGAACAAAUCAUGGUAUCAUUCAUGUGUGGAGCACCACUGAUUUCAGGCUCAUGAGAACCAUUAACUUAGGCGGUGGUGGACAUGUUGUCGGUCUCGCAUGUUUGAUGGGCUCACAGAGGAUUGUGAUUGGGCAAGAGAAGGCAAUAUCUAUCAUGGAUAUAUGUGACGAUGAUGGGUUGCGACCCAUGCUGGUGACUCCCCGGAGGCAGCAUGCUGAAAACGAGCUUACUCAAGCUAAAGCAGAGCACCGCGAAACGGAGGAGCAUGGCCAAACAAAGGAGAUGCGACUCGCGUGCCGUGCCUGGGUGCUAGCGCGGCGAGUUGAAGGGGGGCAUUGAAGAGCUGAGGUGAAACAGAGGAACCGGCUGCAACGCAAGAGCAGCAGGCGUUGCGUCCCAGAGGUGCGACUGAAGCAGGGUGCAGUCCAUCCAAAGCAGUGCAAAGGGAAACAGAGGCACCGUCCAUAACGCAACACCAGCAAGUUCGCGAGUCAGUUCGCGCGCAUGUGCUAUCAAGGAAUGGUCCGAGUUUCCAGGACCCAAGCAAUGCGCGUACCGCCAUUGUUGGCAACUUUCAACACAAUCCAUUUGAAAGAUGGAUCAACUCUGAACCCAUGUACCUCUUGAUUACUCUGAGCAUAGAAUGUUCGCAAUUGCAACUCUCGUUAACUAGCAAAUACCGCGCGCGAUGCACUGGGACUUUGUUACAAUUUUUUCUAACACUAAGGAAUAAAGAAUUAGAAGGGUGCAUAUGUCACCUUAUUAAGAAUAAAGUGUGAAACAUGUAACAUGUAAAUCAUUUGCUUUUUUUUUCAGAAAGGGAGGAUGAC